rnacentral:rRNA from 1 species
GACGAACGCUGGCGGCGUGCCUAAUACAUGCAAGUCGAGCGAAGUUUUUCUGGUGCUUGCACUAGAAAAACUUAGCGGCGAACGGGUGAGUAACACGUAAAGAACCUGCCUCAUAGACUGGGACAACUAUUGGAAACGAUAGCUAAUACCGGAUAACAGCAUUAACUGCAUGGUUGAUGUUUAAAAGUUGGUUUUGCUAACACUAUAAGAUGGCUUUGCGGUGCAUUAGCUAGUUGGUGGGGUAAAGGCCUACCAAGGCGACGAUGCAUAGCCGACCUGAGAGGGUGAUCGGCCACACUGGGACUGAGACACGGCCCAGACUCCUACGGGAGGCAGCAGUAGGGAAUCUUCCGCAAUGGGCGAAAGCCUGACGGAGCAACGCCGCGUGAGUGAAGAAGGAUUUCGGUUCGUAAAGCUCUGUUGUUAGGGAAGAAUGAUUGUGUAGUAACUAUACACAGUAGAGACGGUACCUAACCAGAAAGCCACGGCUAACUACGUG